GACGAACGCUGGCGGCGUGCUUAACACAUGCAAGUCGAACGGAAAGGCCCUGCUUUUGUGGGGUGCUCGAGUGGCGAACGGGUGAGUAACACGUGAGUAACCUGCCCUUGACUUUGGGAUAACUUCAGGAAACUGGGGCUAAUACCGGAUAGGAGCUCCUGCUGCAUGGUGGGGGUUGGAAAGUUUCGGCGGUUGGGGAUGGACUCGCGGCUUAUCAGCUUGUUGGUGGGGUAGUGGCUUACCAAGGCUUUGACGGGUAGCCGGCCUGAGAGGGUGACCGGCGACAUAGGGACUGAGAUACGGCCCAGACUCCUACGGGAGGCAGCAGUGGGGAAUAUUGAACAAUGGGCGGAAGCCUGAUGCAGCAACGCCGCGUGCGGGAUGAAGGCCGUCGGGUUGUAAACCGCUUUCGCCUGUGACGAAGCGUGAGUGACGGUAAUGGGUAAAGAAGCACAGGAUAACUACGUG
rnacentral:rRNA from 1 species